rnacentral:lncRNA from 1 species
AACCUUUGCUGUCUUGGAACAGAUCACCACUGCAAGAGGGGAAGUUGCUACUGUGAUGAAUUCUGCCAUGUGGUACCAGACUGCUACCCAGACCACAGUGUCCUCUGCAACCCUCGUAACUCACAUACAGGCCUGAUUCCACCUACAGCAAAGCUGGAUGCUAUGGUUGGCAGAGGCAAACCCUUUGCCUGCACUUCAGGCCAAAGCCGGGAUGUGGCCUAGAUGGUUCCUAAGGUCCCUGACAAUCCUGAGAUCUUGCAUCUUGUCUAUUUCAGGUCAAAGGUGCCUACAUGUUCCUUCUAGCUUUGUUUCCCUGAUGUUCCUUGCCACCUGCUACUCCUCUCUGAGCUACUUUUCCAGCUUCUCAGAUGACCAAGAUGGUGCUGCAGAUGGUGCUGAGGAUGGAGAACCCACCAAGCCCCGCUAGGAGCCACCUAGACUGGAUGUAGAGCAUGGUUCAGCGAGUUCUCCAAACCAGCCUCCCAGGAAUGCCGGUCUCCAUGGCUGUGAGGGGAAUCAAGAAGAGAGCCUGACUCCUCUCCUGAGGCCCCUUCCCCACCCUGAGCCAGCAGGAUCCACGGAGCAGAGGUCAUCUGUCCCCAGCUUGGCCCGCUGAGGCCAGCAUGGCUGGGCCCAUGAUGCUUGUCUCUCAGCUCCCA